UACGGGGGGAGCAAACGUUGUUCGGAAUCACUGGGCGUAAAGGGCGUGUAGGCGGCUGGAUAAGUGGGAUGUUAAAUCCCCCGGCUCAACCGGGGACCUGCAUCUCAUACUGUUCAGCUCGAGCACAUCAGAGGAGACUGGAAUUCCCGGUGUAGCGGUGAAAUGCGUAGAUAUCGGGAGGAACAUCGGUGGCGAAGGCGGCAUCCUGGACCGGUAUUGACGCUGAGGCGCGAAAGCCAGGGGAGCAAACGGG
rnacentral:rRNA from 1 species